ACCAGCUCCGGUGACUAUGGAACAUCUGAUCAACAGCCAGUCCAGACCGAGAUGUGCUGUCGGGACAAAAUGCCCACCAGAUCUCAAAGACUCAGUGCCUAAGAAAGGAAGUGCUGAUCCUCUGGACCCUUUGAAAGGACAGAACUGAAGAUGUGAAAAUACAGUCAAGACUCACAAAGCAAAGAACACCAUCAUUCACAAGGUAAUGCCAAGAAAAGAAAAGAAGAAAAGCCUUCAGCUUAUUGGUCAAAGGAUGUGUAUUAAGGACAUCUAAGUCAAGAUGACAGUACCCUGGGCUGUUGACAAAAUUAAAUGAAA